rnacentral:tRNA from 1 species
GCACCUUUCGUAUAGCGGACUAAUACACAUCCGUAAUGAUCGGAGAACACAGGUUCGAAUCCUGUAAGGUGCACCA